AGGCAUAAAUAGUUAUGCAGAAUUGAGGUCUACCAUUGUUGGAUUUCUGGAUUGUCUGGAAGACUCCUCCAAGGCAGCUGACGGGGAAGAUUGAGACACAGGCAUCACUACCAGGACAUUUCAUUCUGGAACAGUACAGAAACAGCCUCCUACACAAUAAAGCACAGGAGGACUGUAAACAAGUUAGAGACUCAGGAGCUUUCAUUGUUGGAAGAUACUACUCCUAAAGAGACUUUGAUCAUGCAGCCUAAUGAGUGUCACUCACUUUGAGACAACAAUGAACAUUACAAGACCAGACCCAGAAUACAGCGCAAAGUAGACAAACAAACCUGCCUUGAGUCUGACAAGAAGGGAUGUUAAAUUUCUUGUACCUGAGUUUUUGUUAUGUUGCCACAUCAUCCAUCCUAAUUUGCAUUGCCAUGGGGAGGAGGAGUGCUCCUGGCCUUUCCUCUCAUGCAUUUCUCUUCCUGAGGAUCAGCAUGUGGGCAGGGGAGGGAGGAGGGAAAGGGGUCCAUCCCUGUGUGUAGUUUUGCAUUCAGGCUGUCUGAUGCCAGCCUAAGAGGGGGACUAGGGACAAGCAGAGAUGAGGCAGCAGAAGAUUUCGAUGGCAGUAUGGAUUUGUUUUGGACUAAAUUGACUGCAUAACUGUGACCUCAGAGGGAUCCUCCAGAGCACGUAUUCAGUGCAGCAACUGGUUGUCAGCACAGGAGACAUGGCCCAGGAGGACAGGCUGCCACUGGAGCUUUGUACCCCAGCAAUCCCCAUUUAACGAAAAUCUUCAGACAUUGCUGGCAGGGAGUAUGAAUCAGCACAGCCUUUGGAUUGCUGUCAUUUGUAAGGCUCAGACUGAUACAUUUUAUCCCACAACACUGUUUAGAAGCAAUAUGUAGAGUUUUAAAAGUAAAGAUCUUUGAAAUUAAGCAAGUAAACAAAUUACUAAUAGCAAACAGGAGUUUUGGAUGUGGGUGGGUGCAAAUGGAUAUGAAAGCUCAGUGACAAGGAAGAAAACCAAACACAAAUACAUCAAACUGCAUCUACCAGUUGCUUUUGUUUCAGUGGAGUAGGUCUCAGAGGCAGUUUCCCUGAACAGCAGCAAUCUCUGCUCCAAUUGGAAAAAGAAAACAUCGGAAAGCUUCACAAGUCAAAGGAAAAAAACAAGCAGGACCAGACAGGAAAUAUGCUGUUAAAUGUAAGAUUUUUAAUUUUUGGUCAUUCUUUCCACACAGGUCCCUCAGUAGUCAGACACUCCUCAUUUCUAAAUGUUAAACCUUCUUCAUUAUCACAGCAUUUUUCUUACUAACCAAUGAUAUUUUUAUAAUACACAUGUAUUUAUUUAUAUUUCUUAAGAGCUCAAAGAUUUUUUUCUCAUUGUUUUAGAAAUUGGGAUUGCUUUGCACAGGAAAAUACUUUAGAAGAAGAAUGCAGGGCAUGGAAAACUACUGACAUCCCUGUAUCUUGUCCAUGUCUCUGGCCCCACAGGUGGCAGGGUGGAGAGAGUGCUCCUUUUGGCUACAUGAGUAGGAAAGAAUUGAUUGCCAGGGCCAAAGGAAUAGACAACUUGUCCAGUCUUGUACAUACAAGUCUGUAAUAGGCAUCUACUUCAGAAGGCCCCAUAAAAUAUGUAGUCAAUAAAUCCAAGCUAAAAGACAGGUUUUAAACAUCCUCUAACCCAAAAUACCUAAGAAAAAGACUAAAAAAAGAAGGUACAAGAAGAGGUCAGGAGAUUGGGCAUUGCAGAGGCCCUUGGUUUCUGCAGUAAUAGGAAGUAUAUGGCACACAGUUCUAGCAAAAAGCACUCUACUCCACUUUCUCUUACCGAGGAGGAAAUCAGUGUUUACCACAGUUCUUCCAAAGUGGUUCUGAGAGGCAAACUCCUCCUGCAUCUUAAAUGGCUAGAUGAGCAUCCAUCUAGUAAUUGAAAGUCAGAGUUGUGAAGGAUCUCAAGGAUAAACAUCCUCUUUCAGACAAUCCAGUGGUUUUGUGUAGUUUCCAUCAAAACAGCAAAGUGUUUUAUUGGUCUGUGUGUUCUGCUUUUUAAAGUUCUUUAUCUUGUACACCCUCACUUCUCCACCCAGAUGCAGGUGUUUCUAAGUGCAUUCUUGUAAUCCAUUAUCAUCUCAACGCUACGGUCAGGCCUCCUUGCCCUUCAUGCUUGGUUUUGUUUGUAGGUAUGACGUGAAUAAUGUUAAUGCAGAAUGAUUACAGAUGGCAUGCACCAAGUGGGAAUAAGAUUCCAUGUACAAACUCUACAGCAUGAGGUUAUGUUAAUAAAAUGUGUUUCAAAGACUUAUCCCUUGAUAAUAAUCUAAAUGCUGAGUCUAAAAUUCUUCAUAUUGCAGGUAAGAUCUGACACUCCAAGACCUUGGACUACUUUGCUCAGGGAGAAACAGGUAGCCUGUUCAGACAGCAAGAAGCACCAAGUGAUGGGAAAGGAAUUAAAAAACAAAGAAGAAAAAGUCUCCUUUUAGAUCAUGAUAACCAGGUCAUGGCUAAAUCAUAAACUGCUGCAAAAAAAAAGCCAUCUUAAGGCCAGUCUAACCAACUGCAGACUUUGGCUCAGCAAGCUCAUGUCAUAUGUAUACAAGGUAUGAUAAUGGAGUAGUCAGCACAGUGCUGCACUUCCACAAUCUUGUAGAUGAGUUAUAUGGGGUAACAUUAAAACUGGGCAAUAGAGUAUAUUACUCCUGCAACUCCUUCUCUGAGCUCUUCUUCUCAAGCCUUGCUUCUAUUCACACAUCAACUACACCAAGCAGAUGUCUCACGCAGCUGAGGAAGCAGUGCUGAAUUCCAGACAGAGCAGACUGAAAGUCAGUUUUAAGGGUUUCAUCUAAAACACCAACGUAAUGAUAUAGGACUGUAUGGCAUUCAAUUAAUCAGUGCUUGCAAGGUGAUGGAAUUAAGAACAACAGGAUUUAUUUGUUUCACUGGGAGAUGUACUUUCCAUAUUUUUUUGUCCUUGUUGUCAGUCAUGUGAUUGCAUGACUAGUUGAGGAAUCAGACAACUCCAAUGGAAAAGAGAAAUUAGGUCAUCUGGUCCACCCUUGCUGCCAGGACAUGACUGUUCCCUGCAGUGG